UUGGCACCGUUAAACAUGGCAUCUCCCGGAUUCUAUCCUCGCAGCCGCGCGCACUCCCUCCCUCCCUCCCUCACCGUCCAAUUCCAUCCGCUCCUCCUCCUCCUCCUCCUCGCCGUCGCCAUGGCCGCCGCGGUGGCGGCCUCCUCCUCCUCCUCCUCCAGCAGCUGCGCCGCCGUCGGCGUAGCCACCGCCUCCCACCCCCACCGCCACCGCCAGGCCCGCUUCGUCGUCUCCCCUCCCGCGCCGGCCUCCCCCGCGGCGCUGCUCUGGCGGCGGCCGCGGCGGGUGGCUCCGACCACGUUCUGCUCCGCGCCGUCGCUCGGCCGCGUCGGGUGGCCGCGGCGGGAGGGUGCCGCCUGGCUGCUGUCGUUCCGCGCCGGCCCGGUUUCUUCCCCGUCGUCGGCGGCGGCGGGCGAUCCUUCCCAGGCGCUCUCCGCGCUGCUCCCGCUCGUCGUCGCCGCCACCGCCGUCGCCGCGCUCGGCAACCCCGCUACCUUCUCAUGGGUCUCCAAGGAGUACUACGCGCCUGCACUUGGCGGCAUCAUGCUCUCCAUUGGCAUCAAAUUAUCCAUCGACGACUUCGCGUUGGCAUUCAAGAGGCCGGUGCCUCUGACGAUCGGCUAUAUGGCGCAGUACAUUGUGAAGCCGCUGAUGGGCGUGCUGAUCGCGAGGGCCUUCGGGAUGCCGUCGGCGUUCUUUGCAGGCUUUGUUCUUACUUGCUGCGUCUCCGGCGCGCAGCUGUCGAGCUAUGCUAGCUUCCUGAGCAAAGGGGAUGUUGCAUUGAGCAUUCUGUUGACAAGCUGCUCGACGAUAUCUUCGGUGGUUGUGACACCUGUUCUCACUGGACUGCUGAUUGGUUCUGUGGUUCCUGUUGAUGGGAUCGCGAUGGCGAAAUCCAUUUUGCAGGUGGUUCUUGUUCCUGUCACACUAGGUCUUCUUCUGAAUACAUAUGCAAAAGCAGUCGUUAAUGUCAUUCAACCAGUAAUGCCAUUUGUUGCUAUGUUGUGCACAUCGCUUUGUAUUGGAAGCCCUCUUGCUAUCAACAGGAGCAAGAUCUUAUCUUCAGAAGGAUUCCUGUUACUUCUCCCCAUAGUGACUUUCCACAUUGCUGCCUUCAUUGUGGGUUACUGGAUUUCCAAGUUGCCUAUGUUGAGGCAAGAAGAGCCCGUUUGCAGAACUAUUUCUGUAUGUACCGGCAUGCAGAGCUCCACCCUCGCUGGACUUCUUGCUACACAAUUUCUUGGAAGUAGCCAGGCAGUUCCUGCAGCAUGCUCAGUUGUUAUCAUGGCCAUAUUUGGUUUGACUCUAGCAUCAUACUGGGGAAAUGGUUUGCGAAUCAGAGAUAUCGGUUCGAGAUUUGUUCCACAAGCUUCCGCAGGUGUGAGCUCAUGAUAAAGCUUUUGGGGUGCAGCAUUUAGAUUCGUUCAUGGGCUCCCCCGUCAAGUUCCAGAAUUCCUGAGCAAUUGGAGGCUGUAGUACACAGAAGAUGCCGUGCUCUUGCUGUGUAAAUCCUCCAUUAGCAACAAGAGAUCAGGAACUGCAAGCUGUGCAUUUUUGAAGAUAACCAGCAAUAAGAACAGCCUUACUUAGAUCGAAGGAUGCUGGGAUGGCACAGCAGUCAAAUUAUACCUUAGUACCAUACAAUAUACUGUAGAUUUCAGGAUACUAUGCGGUGUACCUAGCAAGCAGAGUCGCACUCUGCAGUGUUCUCAGUUGUGAGUGCCACAAGGUUGCGGGCAGAGUCCAAUUACGAUUGGCCGAUUUGAUUGCCAUUCUACAUCUAGAAGAUGUCACAGUUGUUUCACAUGGAUCUCUUUCUCUGGUCCAUUUCUUUGUCGUUUUUGGUACACAUGAGCAGUCCAUUUCUUCAGUUUGUCGCUGCAUGUAGCCAUGUAGAUCGCGUGGGUAGUGACAGCAACGGCCAGAAAGGAAGAUUUGAGAUAUUUUUCAGCUGUCUUGUAGAAUUUGUAGGAUCUCAUGAUAACCUUCAAUAAAGAGUAUUUCUUCCAUGUUA